UACGGGGGGUGCGAGCGUUGUCCGGAAUCACUGGGCGUAAAGGGCGCGUAGGUGGUUUGAUAAGGCUGUGGUGAAAGCCCGGGGCUCAACCCCGGGUCUGCCGUGGAGACUGUCAGACUGGAGGGCUCGAGAGGCAGACGGAAUUCCGGGUGUAGCGGUGGAAUGCGUAGAGAUCCGGAAGAAGACCGGUGGCGAAGGCGGUCUGCUGGCGAGUACCUGACACUGAUGCGCGACAGCGUGGGGAGCAAACAGG
rnacentral:rRNA from 1 species